rnacentral:tRNA from 1 species
GUUGCUUGGCCGAGUGGUUAAGGCGUGUGGUUGCUUACGAAGGCGAGAGUUUGAAUCUCACAAUCGACA